AUGGCAAAAGGUAAAUAUUUUGCACCUCUGUAUUGUAACCCUCACAUGGGGUCACAGGACAAAAGAAGUAACCUAUGUUUCCCAGAUGGUAGCAAUUGGCAUAAGCAAUCAAAUACAAAGCUUGCAGUGGUGAAGUUUCUUCUUUGGAAAUUUUAUUCCAGGAGAACAAUACACUAUUACCAGGAGAAAGACCUCCAAGUAGACUUUCAUACUUCUCAGGUCAUAAUAUCAAGACUGACUGGCUGGCUUUCAAAACCAGGGGAAGGGAGAACCUCAGACACCACCUUUCCUAAUCAUGGAUUUUCGAAAAAGAGAACCUUUUCCUUUCUUUAAUCUCUAUUGGAAAUUCUGGUAUAAGGGAGAAGUGCCAUAUUUUGGACCAUGUAAGUGUCAUAUUAGUACCGUCUUUUGCUUUAAUUAAUAUAUAAGGUGGUAACAACUUCUGUUUAAAUCUGUAGAAUAAUGUUGAACCUCCCAGUCUCCUUUUUAAAGAGAAUUAUUUUCACAACAUUAGUUUUUGAUAUUCAGGGCAUACAUGCUUCCAAAUCUGUCUACAUAACUAAAUGUUUCAGGAAUUACUGAAAUUGUGGAUCUUCGUGGGUUUUUGUUGUACCCUCUUCAUAUCUCCUUGCUUACUCUGUGAAUCAGAUCUGACACACAGAUGUGCAUUCGCUCUACCUUCUCUCACAACCAAAGAUAAUGCAACUCAGAGGACAAAAGUUAGGAUCCUAAUUCAAUGGGGAAGUGCUUGUAGGUGCUGACAUACUAUGUGAAUAUCACUCACAGGUCAAAUUUUCAUGACAAUAUUUUUCCUGGCAUUAGGCAAAUCGACAUGUAAGAUCUGAAGAGUAGAGACCAUUUUACCACACUUAAUUAUUUCAUCUAUAAUAAAAUUCCAUUGCUGUAUUUAAAUGACUGUCCU
rnacentral:lncRNA from 1 species